GACGAACGCUGGCGGCGUGCUUAACACAUGCAAGUCGAACGGAAAGGCCCUGCUUGCAGGGUACUCGAGUGGCGAACGGGUGAGUAACACGUGGGUGAUCUGCCCUGCACUUCGGGAUAAGCCUGGGAAACUGGGUCUAAUACCGGAUAGGAGCCAUUUUUAGUGUGAUGGUUGGAAAGUUUUUUCGGUGUAGGAUGAGCUCGCGGCCUAUCAGCUUGUUGGUGGGGUAAUGGCCUACCAAGGCGGCGACGGGUAGCCGGACUGAGAGGGUGGACGGCCACAUUGGGACUGAGAUACGGCCCAGACUCCUACGGGAGGCAGCAGUGGGGAAUAUUGCACAAUGGGCGCAAGCCUGAUGCAGCGACGCCGCGUGGGGGAUGACGGCCUUCGGGUUGUAAACUCCUUUCGCUAGGGACGAAGCUUUUUGUGACGGUACCUAGAUAAGAAGCACCGGCUAACUACGUG
rnacentral:rRNA from 1 species